AGGUAGUAAUUUAAUAAUAAAACCUAUUUAUAAUGGCGGCAUUCAAUCUUAUUAGAGGAACUUGUUCUGUAAUCGAAAACUCGCGAUAACUUUUACUUUUUUUAAAAAUUUAUAUACCGCCGUCUAAAGAAUUAAUUUAAAAACAAAAUUCUUAACAAAAAUUAAAAAGUAAGGUCAAGGUGUAGUUUACAAAAAAGAAAGAAAUGAGUUACUUUAAAAAUAAUUUAAAGAAAAAUUUAAAAAUAACAUUAGGAAAAGGGAUUUAAUAUUAAUAAAUGUAUAACAAUAUUAUCAUAUGAAUAAGAUAAUAAAUGUGU
rnacentral:rRNA from 1 species